UUCCUAAAGGGACGACAACACCGAGAAGCAGUGGUUAGAACACUCCGAAGCUUCAACAUGUAUAACCCGCGUGUGUCAUGGCCUCCGCUGUCCACAGGAACAGGUUCCGGGGCUCAGGAACUUUAAAGUUCCAGUUUCAGGGCCAGACAGAUGGUUCAGUGGGUAAGCGUAGUGGCUGCUCUUCCAGAGGAUCUGGGUUUGAUUGCCAGCACCCAUGUGGCAGCUCACAAUCAUCUGUGACUCCGGUCCCAGGGGAUCCAAUGACCUCUUCUGGGCUCUAUGGCUCACAGGCAUACACGCACGCAGAAUACCCAAAAUAAAUAAAAAUAAAGGAAAAGACUUUUUUUCCCUAAAGGUUACAAUUUCAUUCUGACUUCACCAUGGGUACCUAUCGACACAAUGGAGGUCAGCUUGAGUCCCCAACCUCUGCUGAAUACAACUCCCUGGGAUUUGGCGUUGCCCUCCACCAGCAUGCCCCACAUCCCAUUGUUCUGGGUCACAUGACCCAGAAGCUGCCCUGGUUUCUUCCUUUCCUACCCUGACACGUGCCCAGUCUUGUAGCUUCCCCAUCUACUGUUUCUUUAUCUUUUCUCCAUCCUCACACAGCCACUCCCUGGGUUCUGACCUUAGACGGCCUUGCCUGGAUGGCUGUGGGACCCUUACUGGCCUUCCUCAGUUUAGCCUUUUCAUGUCACCACCUUCUGGGAAGGACUGUGCAUAGCUGGUCACUUCGCUUUGGGCGCCCUCACAGAGACCCCCUUCCUUCUGCCAUGGUGCUCUGGCCACACAGAGCCGGCCACCUUCCUUUCCCCCAGCACAUAACACACUCCUUCUUUCCCAUCUCCACCCCCUUUUAUAUAUCCUCCCGGGAGAUGUGCCUAAUCUUUACCUCUUCUAACCUCUGGAAAAAUCUCUUAGAAAACCAUUAACUGAACAAGAUAACCGAUGCCUAUCUCUACAACCCUUUACAGAUCACUAUGCAUUUUGCACGUAAAAUAUCUCACUGAAUGUGAGGUGGUAAUAAAUGCCUAGCAAAGCUGAUGAGAUCUGAGGGUAUCUGUCUGCUUCUCUCAUGUAUGGUAAAGACAAGCACACUUUAUAUAUCCCAUCACUAAUAGACCAUUUUCCUAGAUAAUGAUAGGACCUAUCAGUAGCACACCUUUUCGCUGUAUAACUUAAUGACCUGUGAAUACACACACCUUUUCUCUGAAUAGUAAAACGGCCUACGAGUGUGUCUACAUUUUCCAGCUGCACAGACAUGGACAGACAGGGCCACUGGCAAGAAAACUGCAUGCCAAUUGGCAUGAAGGCAGCAGAUAAGCUGUUCUCACAGUCAACCCCCGUUGUCUGAAAGCCCAAUUAACUUUGGAAAUAUUUUAAAAACGGAUGCCAAGAUGGAUUUACAUCGUUCAAAAGCAGAAAGCUGAAAAAAAUAAUCCAUCUUUUAAAAACAAUGUUUUAAAAUUCGAGUUUGCUAAUCUGGACAUGCGGUGGAGUCUAACAGAGCCCCGGGAGAGCUGCAGGGAAUUGUCUCUCGUAAAACAGAGCAUAUUUUAUUCUGCCUGAGGCUGAGCACAUAAAUGUUUAUAAACUAGGAAAUAAAAUGUCCAGACCCACAACACGGCUGUCAACACGAAUCCACAUCAACAACGGCUAUCCAUCAACGCGGCUCAAGUCUCCUGUCCUGGGCCAUUAUUUCAGGUUGCAGCAUUGGAAAUUGCACUCUAGCCUUGACUAUGCUAAACAUGUCGCACAUGCUGGCUCUACCACCAAAUCACACCCCAGUCCCUUCGUUACAACUUUUUUCACAGAAAAUAAAAAUGAAGAUUCAUGGAAGAAAAACAUUUACAGGACAGAUAACUAAUGGCUGUAUCUUUUCCAUAGUAGGAGGACUAGGUAGCUGAGUCUCUGGGACCUGACCUGAAUCCCACUGCUCAGGCCUGCAUGCCUCAUCCCUAGCUCCAUCCCUAUAGCCCAGAGUUUAUCUGGUAGAUGCUCCAAAGACAUGUGGGAAUGAAUUCAACUGUGACAUGUUCCCUUCUUAGAUGUAUUGUGAAAAUACCAUGCCCACAUCUUGCUUAACCCAGAAUAAUAAAUAUUAUGUCACCAUAGCAGUUAUUAAAAUAUGGGAAUAUUAAAAACAAAGGCUGGUGUGAGGUGAGGCUAUAGUUACACAUCAAAUUCCAUUAUUUCUUCUUUUUUAUUUUUUAUUAUCUUUUUUUAAAGAUUUAUUUAUUUAUUAUGUAUACAACAUUCUGCCUCCAUGUAUGGCUGAACACCAGGAGAGGGCACCAGAUCUCAUUAUAGAUGGCUGUGAGCCAUCAUGUGGUUGCUGGGAAUUGAACUCAGGACCUCCUGAAGAACAGCCAGUGUUUAUAACCUCUGAGCCAUCUCUCCAGCCCCUAUUAUUUCUUCUUGGAAACUUGUUCAGCAUCCACUCCUAGGUUUCAGAACCUUCCUGCUCGGUUCUUUCCUCUGGCAGCUGAUUAGAUACAGCAGCAUCCCAGGUUAGCUAUGGAGACAUCUCUAGAGAGUAGAAGAAGCAACAACCUAGAAGGAACCUCCCCCGGAAUGGCUAGAUGGGGCUGGGUGUCGGGAGUCUACCUUCACAUACGGAAGAGGUAGAUGUUUAGGGCGAGGCACCUUUGAGUCUCUCCGUUACAAUGCCUGGACUUGCCCUGACUACCCGAGGAUGUAUUUCUCCUCAGCAUAACUCAUAUGACGGUGGCCUCCUUGGGAAUCUGCUUUCGUGCUGACAACUGAGACAAUAAAAAAUAUUACUUCAA